AGACCCGAAACCCGGUGAUCUAGCCAUGGGCAGGUUGAAGGUUGGGUAACACUAACUGGAGGACCGAACCGACUAAUGUUGAAAAAUUAGCGGAUGACCUGUGGCUGGGGGUGAAAGGCCAAUCAAACCGGGAGAUAGCUGGUUCUCCCCGAAAGCUAUUUAGGUAGCGCCUCGUGAAUUCAUCUCCGGGGGUAGAGCACUGUUUCGGCUAGGGGGCCAUCCCGGCUUACCAACCCGAUGCAAACUGCGAAUACCGGAGAAUGUUAUCACGGGAGACACACGGCGGGUGCUAACGUCCGUCGUGAAGAGGGAAACAACCCAGACCGCCAGCUAAGGUCCCAAAGUCAUGGUUAAGUGGGAAACGAUGUGGGAAGGCCCAGACAGCCAGGAUGUUGGCUUAGAAGCAGCCAUCAUUUAAAGAAAGCGUAAUAGCUCACUGGUCGAGUCGGCCUGCGCGGAAGAUGUAACGGGGCUAAACCAUGCACCGAAGCUGCGGCAGCGACGUUUAUGCGUUGUUGGGUAGGGGAGCGUUCUGUAAGCCUGCGAAGGUGGCCUGUGAGGGUUGCUGGAGGUAUCA
rnacentral:rRNA from 1 species